UGGCAAGGCCAGGACCCAGUCAUAUCCUUCUAAAUUCCUCUGUAGGCGUUGUCUCACCAUAGCUGCUUUCUACUGAAGGUGCUGUGGAUACUUCAUUUGCACAAGACCUGUGUUCUAGGCAGUACUAAUGGAGCAACCACAACACACGUAUAGCAGAUCACCAAGCAUGUUUCAUUUCACUCGACCGGCUGAUUAGAAGCGAAAGAACAAGGAAGAAGAAACUGAACUACACAGCAAUUCUACACCGGCUUCGACUUGACGUCACCGGCAGCAGCAGAGACUCCAAAGUCACGUGGCCAACACUGGGCUCAGAAGAGGUGGAAGUUCAGAGCUGUUCGUCUAGCUAGGGCAUGCAUGAGCUUGUUAAUGUCUGGAUAUGUUAGCUGUUCGAACCUUCCAUAAAACCUGUAAUUCCGUAUCACAUAUCUAUUAAAGCAAACACUACGCAAAGUGAAUGUUUCCAUAAGUAUGCACAGCAUGCAAUAAAAAUGUAAAAUUUCACUCAAAAUUAAAGGUUUAUGUAAAAUUUCAAA